GACGAACGCUGGCGGCGUGCCUAAUACAUGCAAGUUGAGCGCUGAAGGUUGGUACUUGUACCGACUGGAUGAGCAGCGCACGGGUGAGUAACGCGUGGGGAAUCUGCCUUUGAGCGGGGGACAACAUUUGGAAACGAAUGCUAAUACCGCAUAAAAACUUUAAACACAAGUUUUAAGUUUGAAAGAUGCAAUUGCAUCACUCAAAGAUGAUCCCUCGUUGUAUUAGCUAGUUGGUGAGGUAAAGGCUCACCAAGGCGAUGAUACAUAGCCGACCUGAGAGGGGGAUCUGCCACCUUGGGAGUGAGACACGGCCCAAACGCCUACGGGAGGCAGCAGUAGGGAAUCUUCGGCAAUGGACGAAAGUCUGACCGAGCAACGCCGAGGGAGUGAAGAAGGUUUUCGGAUCGUAAAACUCUGUUGGUAGAGAAGAACGUUGGUGAGAGUGGAAAGCUCAUCAAGUGACGGUAACUACCCAGAAAGGGACGGCUAACUACGUG
rnacentral:rRNA from 1 species